AGUGAACGCUGGCGGUAGGCCUAACACAUGCAAGUCGAACGGCAGCACAGUAAGAGCUUGCUCUUACGGGUGGCGAGUGGCGGACGGGUGAGGAAUACAUCGGAAUCUACUUUUUCGUGGGGGAUAACGUAGGGAAACUUACGCUAAUACCGCAUACGACCUACGGGUGAAAGCAGGGGAUCUUCGGACCUUGCGCGAUUGAAUGAGCCGAUGUCGGAUUAGCUAGUUGGCGGGGUAAAGGCCCACCAAGGCGACGAUCCGUAGCUGGUCUGAGAGGAUGAUCAGCCACACUGGAACUGAGACACGGUCCAGGCUCCUACGGGAGGCAGCAGUGGGGAAUAUUGGACAAUGGGCGCAAGCCUGAUCCAGCCAUACCGCGUGGGUGAAGAAGGCCUUCGGGUUGUAAAGCCCUUCUGUUGGGAAAGAAAAGCAGCAGGUUAAUACCCCGCUGUUCUGACGGUACCCAAAGAAUAAGCACCGGCUAACUUCGUG
rnacentral:rRNA from 1 species